ACGCAAGUCUGAACCAGCCACGUCGCGUGAAGGAAGACGGCCCUACGGGUUGUAAACUUCUUUUGUAAGGGAAUAAAGUGAUUCACGUGUGUUUCAUUGCAUGUACCUUACGAAUAAGGAUCGGCUAACUCCGUGCCAGCAGCCGCGGUAAUACGGAGGAUCCGAGCGUUAUCCGGAUUUAUUGGGCGUAAAGGGUGCGUAGGCGGAUGCUUAAGUGAGAUGUGAAAUACCUAGGCUUAACUUAGGGGCUGCAUUUCAAACUGGGCAUCUAGAGUACAGGAGAGGGAAACGGAAUUCCUAGUGUAGCGGUGAAAUGCGUAGAGAUUAGGAAGAACACCAGUGGCGAAGGCGGUUUCCUGGACUGUAACUGACGCUGAGGCACGAAAGCGUGGGUAGCAAACA
rnacentral:rRNA from 1 species